rnacentral:rRNA from 1 species
AUGCGCGCCCUCCUCUGCGUCCGCCUCCGGCGCCUGCUCUAUCUGCCCCUAAGCGGGAGGCCCUUCUCCUCCUCCUCCUCCUCCGACGGAACCCACGAGAUCCCCACCGUAUACUCCUUCCUCCAGCCUAACAUCUUCGCGCCGCGCGCCAGGCCCCAACCCCCGCCGCCGCCGCCGUCACCUCCCGCUCCGGGCCCCGCGCCCGAAGCCCUGCCCGUCGCGGACGCCGUCGCGCUCGAAGAAAGCCUGCUCGCCGCCGCCGCCGAGGACCGCUCGGAUGACGCGUGGCUCGCGUUCAAGUCCCUGGCGGCGGCCUCCCUCUCGCCGUCGCCUCCCGCCGCGGCGGCCCUCGUAUCCCACCUCGUCGCGGACAACCACCGCCUCGGCCUCAAGCGCGCCUUUGCCGCCGCCGUCUUCCUGCUGGAGAAGAGCCCCCAUGCCUCUCCCCUCCCGGAGGCCGCGCUCGAGGCCCUCUUCUCCUCCCUCGCCGCGUCGGGCUCCGCGGCCCCGGCGCUGGCCCUCGCGCGUGCUCUCCUCGGCUGCGGGCGCCGCCUGCCGGCUUUCUCCGCCUGGGGCCUUCCGCUGAUAGAGCUCACCCGCGCUGACACGGGCUCGUUUGCGGCCUUCUUGAAGGUGUUUGAAGAAGCCUGCAAGCUCAUGGCGGAGGAGAAGUCUCCGUCUGUGGUAGCGGUCAUGCGGCCUGAUCUCGCGGCCUGCAAUGCUGUUCUUGAUGGAUGCUGCCGCAGGCUCGGCUCAGUCACAGAUGCUGAGAAGGUCUUGGAGAUUAUGUCAGCUGUUGGGGUGUCACCAGACGUGGAGAGCUUUGGACAUCUUGCCUUCUUGUAUGCGUGGAGGGCUGUUCCAAGCCGGGUCGAUGAGCUCGAUAAGUUGCUGGAAGCUCUGGGCUUCAGCAAGAAAGGGUUUUUCAAGAAUUUAGUGAGUGGGUAUUUGAAGUCUUGCAGCUUUGAGUCUGUUUCGUCGAUCAUACUUCGUGUCGUGGAGGAGAGAAGAGUUGAGGAUGGCAAUCCAUUUGAUGAUGAGUGCUAUACCGAGGUUGCACAAUGCUUUGUUGAUAAUGGGAGGAUCAGGGAAUUGGCUCAGUUGAUCUUCCAAGCACAAGAGAUUGAGUCGACACAUAAAUUGCUGGCAGCUGAUGAUUCUGUUGGGUUUGGGAUUGUCAAUGCUUGUGUCGGACUUGGUCUAUUGAACAAGGCUCAUAGCAUACUUGAUGAAAUGACUGCCCAAGGAGCCUCUGUGGGGCUAGGUAUAUACACCCCAAUCUUGAAAGCAUAUUGCAAGGAGCAGAAGACUGCAGAGGCUGCACAGCUUGUGGCGGAGAUUAGCGCAGCAGGACUACAACUUGAUGCCGGCAGUUAUGAUGCUCUUAUUGAUGCUUCUAUGACAGCCCAUGAUUUCCAGUCUGCGUUUGCACUUUUCAAAGAUAUGAGGGAGGCGAGGCUACCAGAUCUUAGGACAAGUUAUCUUACUAUAAUGACAGGCUUGACGGAGAACAACCGGCCUGAGCUCAUGGCAUCAUUCUUGGACGCCGUGGUUGAUGACCCGAGAAUAGAGAUUGCUACACAUGAUUGGAACUCUAUAAUACAUGCCUUUUGCAAGGUUGGGAGGUUAGAGGAUGCUCGAAGAACAUACCGAAGGAUGCUAUUCCUGUUAUAUGAACCAAACAAUCAGACAUACCUCUCACUUAUCAAUGGGUAUCUCUCAGCAGAGAAGUACUUUAAUGUGCUCAUACUAUGGACAGAAGUGAGGAGGAAGGGGGCUGAUUUUAACCACGAGUUGAUUGAUGCCUUUCUGCAUGCUUUGGUCAAGGGUGGAUUUUUUGAUAUGGCAAUGCAGGUGAUUGAGAAGGCACAAGAGUUGAAAAUAUUUGUAGAUAAGUGGAGGCACAAACAAGCCUUCAUGGAAACCCACAAGAAGCUAAAAGUGGCGAAGCUGAGAAAGCGCAACUUUAGGAAAAUGGAAGCUCUCAUCGCGUUCAAGAACUGGGCGGGUCUUAACUCAUAA